rnacentral:rRNA from 1 species
UACGAGGGGGGCAAGCGUUGUUCGGAAUUAUUGGGCGUAAAGAGCUCGUAGGCGGUUUGUCGCGUCUGCUGUGAAAUCUGGAGGCUCAACCUCCAGCCUGCAGUGGGUACGGGCAGACUAGAGUGCGGUAGGGGAGAUUGGAAUUCCUGGUGUAGCGGUGGAAUGCGCAGAUAUCAGGAGGAACACCGAUGGCGAAGGCAGAUCUCUGGGCCGUAACUGACGCUGAGGAGCGAAAGCAUGGGGAGCGAACAGG